GGAAAUAACAUAAGUAUGCGUUGCUUAAACUAGAAAGCUUUAAAGCAAAAGUUAUGUAAACGGGUCAAUACCUUGACCCGAGCCAGGUACACUUUGGGAUGCCGGAAGACGAUCAAGCUCAACGAAGAACCGAACACACCAUAGAUACACGCUUCCGCACUUUGCUAUGUUGAAAAUUUUAAACAACGAAUUCAACCACGUGAUCCUUGGUUUAAGAGAUUCGAGUAUGGUGGGGAGGAACCAUGCUUGGACUUAA
rnacentral:lncRNA from 1 species